GCGGGUGUGGCGGAACUGGUAGACGCCCCGGAUUUAGGUUCCGGUACUGCAAGGUGUGGAGGUUCGAAUCCUCUCACCCGCACCA
rnacentral:tRNA from 1 species